rnacentral:rRNA from 1 species
UGCCAGCCGCCGCGGUAAUACAGAGGGUGCAAGCGUUAAUCGGACUUACUGGGCGUAAAGCGUGCGUAGGCGGGAAGUUAAGUCAGUUGUGAAAACCCAGGGCUCAACCUUGGACGGUCAUCUGAUACUGGCAUCCUAGAGUACAGUAGAGGGGAGUGGAAUUUCCGGUGUAGCGGUGAAAUGCGUAGAUAUCGGAAGGAACACCAGUGGCGAAGGCGACUUCCUGGGCCAAUACUGACGCUGAGGUUCGAAAGCUGAGGGAGCGAACAGGAUUAGAUA